rnacentral:rRNA from 1 species
UACGUAGGGUGCGAGCGUUGUCCGGAAUUAUUGGGCGUAAAGAGCUCGUAGGCGGUGUGUCGCGUCGGCCGUGAAAACCUGGGGCUCAACUCUGGGCGUGCGGUCGAUACGGGCAUCACUGGAGUUCGGCAGGGGAGACUGGAAUUCCUGGUGUAGCGGUGAAAUGCGCAGAUAUCAGGAGGAACACCGAUGGCGAAGGCAGGUCUCUGGGCCACUACUGACGCUGAGAAGCGAAAGCAUGGGGAGCGAACAGG